UGAUACGCCGGGUGUGUAAGCGCAGCGAUGCUUUGUGCUAACCGGUACUAAUGAACCGUGAAGCUUAACCUUACAACGCCGAAGAGGUUU
rnacentral:rRNA from 1 species